AGAUUGAACGCUGGCGGCAGGCCUAACACAUGCAAGUCGAGCGGUAGAGAGGUGCUUGCAUCUCUUGAGAGCGGCGGACGGGUGAGUAAUGCCUAGGAAUCUGCCUAGUGGUGGGGGAUAACGUUCGGAAACGGACGCUAAUACCGCAUACGUCCUACGGGAGAAAGCGGGGGACCUUCGGGCCUCGCGCCAUUAGAUGAGCCUAGGUCGGAUUAGCUAGUUGGUGAGGUAAUGGCUCACCAAGGCGACGAUCCGUAACUGGUCUGAGAGGAUGAUCAGUCACACUGGAACUGAGACACGGUCCAGACUCCUACAGGAGGCAGCAGUGGGGAAUAUUGGACAAUGGGACGAAAGCCUGAUCCAGCCAUGCCGCGUGUGUGAAGAAGGUCUUCGGAUUGUAAAGCACUUUAAGUUGGGAAGGUAAGGGUUGUAAACCUAAUACGUUAGCUAACUUUGACGUUACCGAACAGAAAUAAGCACCGGACUAACUUCGUGCCAGCACG
rnacentral:rRNA from 1 species